rnacentral:tRNA from 1 species
GUCCCCUUCGUCUAGAGGCCUAGGACACCGCCCUUUCACGGCGGCGACGGGGGUUCGAAUCCCCCAGGGGACGCCA